GACAGAGGGUGCAAACGUUGUUCGGAAUUACUGGGCGUAAAGCGCGUGUAGGCGGCUCUGCAAGUCGGGUGUGAAAUCCCAUGGCUCAACCAUGGAAGUGCACUCGAAACUGCAGGGCUAGAGUCCUGGAGAGGAAGGUGGAAUGCUUGGUGUAGAGGUGAAAUUCGUAGAUAUCAAGCGGAACACCGGUGGCGAAGGCGCCUUCUGGACAGUGACUGACGCUGAGACGCGAAAGCGUGGGGAGCAAACAGG
rnacentral:rRNA from 1 species